rnacentral:rRNA from 1 species
UACGUAGGGUGCAAGCGUUGUCCGGAAUUAUUGGGCGUAAAGAGCUUGUAGGCGGUUUGUCGCGUCUGCUGUGAAAUUUCGGGGCUCAACCCCGAACUUGCAGUGGGUACGGGCAGACUAGAGUGUGGUAGGGGAGACUGGAAUUCCUGGUGUAGCGGUGAAAUGCGCAGAUAUCAGGAGGAACACCGAUGGCGAAGGCAGGUCUCUGGGCCACUACUGACGCUGAGAAGCGAAAGCAUGGGGAGCGAACAGGAUAGAA